GGCUUAUCCAUUGCACUCCGGAUGUGCUG
rnacentral:piRNA from 3 species